GUACUGCUGACCUCUAUGAAUCAAUCACACAAGUGGAAAAUACUAGAAAUGGAGCUGAUCAACACCAAGAUGCUGCAUGCUCUCUGACUGAGCUUCAAAACUUUGGCAAUUAAAGAAGCCACAGGUGGGACAGGCAUGAAUGGAGGGCAGCCACUGACCCCCCCCCCCCCCCCC